GGUCGGUUAGCUCAGCUGGUUAGAGCGUCGUACUAAUACUAUAAGCAAUUAUAACAUUGGUGAUGCGAAGGUCAUGAGUUCGAUCCUCAUACUGACCA
rnacentral:tRNA from 1 species